rnacentral:rRNA from 1 species
GAUGAACGCUAGCGGCAGGCCUAACACAUGCAAGUCGAGGGGCAGCACAGGUAGCAAUACUGGGUGGCGACCGGCGGAUGGGUGCGUAACGCGUAUGCAACCUACCAUUGAUUGGGGCAUAGCCCGAAGAAAUUCGGAUUAAUACUCCAUAAUAUUCAUCAAAGGCAUCUUUUAUGAAUUAAAGCUUUUGCGAUCAAUGAUGGGCAUGCGUGACAUUAGUUAGUUGGUGAGGUAACGGCUCACCAAAACGAUGAUGUCUAGGGGUUCUGAGAGGAUUAUCCCCCACACCUGGUACUGAGACACGGACCAGACUCCUACGGGAGGCAGCAGUGAGGAAUAUUGGUCAAUGGACGCAAGUCUGAACCAGCCAUGCCGCGUGCAGGAUGACGGCCCUAUGGGUUGUAAACUGCUUUUCCACGGGAAGAACCCUCGACGUGUCGGAGACUGACGGUACCGUGGGAAUAAGCAUCGGCUAACUCCGUGCC